UACGGAGGGGGCUAGCGUUGUUCGGAAUUACUGGGCGUAAAGCGCACGUAGGCGGCUUUGUAAGUUAGAGGUGAAAGCCCGGGGCUUAACCCCGGAAUAGCCUUUAAGACUGCAUCGCUUGAACACGGGAGAGGUGAGUGGAAUUCCGAGUGCAGAGGUGAAAUUCGUAGAUAUUCGGAAGAACACCAGUGGCGAAGGCGGCUCACUGGACCGUUGUUGACGCUGAGGUGCGAAAGCGUGGGGAGCAAACAGG
rnacentral:rRNA from 1 species